AGAGUUUGAUCCUGGCUCAGGACGAACGCUGGCGGCGCGCCUAACACAUGCAAGUCGAACGGAGCUGAGAGGAGCUUGCUUUUCUUAGCUUAGUGGCGAACGGGUGAGUAACGCGUGAGUAACCUGCCCUGGAGUGGGGGACAACAGUUGGAAACGACUGCUAAUACCGCAUAAGCCCACGGUCCGGCAUCGGGCUGAGGGAAAAGGAUUUAUUCGCUUCAGGAUGGACUCGCGUCCAAUUAGCUAGUUGGUGAGGUAACGGCCCACCAAGGCGACGAUUGGUAGCCGGACUGAGAGGUUGAACGGCCACAUUGGGACUGAGACACGGCCCAGACUCCUACGGGAGGCAGCAGUGGGGAAUAUUGCACAAUGGGGGAAACCCUGAUGCAGCGACGCCGCGUGGAGGAAGAAGGUCUUCGGAUUGUAAACUCCUGUUGUUGAGGAAGAUAAUGACGGUACUCAACAAGGAAGUGACGGCUAACUACGUGCCAGCAGCCGCGGUAAAACGUAGGUCACAAGCGUUGUCCGGAAUUACUGGGUGUAAAGGGAGCGCAGGCGGGAAGACAAGUUGGAAGUGAAAUCUAUGGGCUCAACCCAUAAACUGCUUUCAAAACUGUUUUUCUUGAGUAGUGCAGAGGUAGGCGGAAUUCCCGGUGUAGCGGUGGAAUGCGUAGAUAUCGGGAGGAACACCAGUGGCGAAGGCGGCCUACUGGGCACCAACUGACGCUGAGGCUCGAAAGUGUGGGUAGCAAACAGGAUUAGAUACCCUGGUAGUCCACACCGUAAACGAUGAUUACUAGGUGUUGGAGGAUUGACCCCUUCAGUGCCGCAGUUAACACAAUAAGUAAUCCACCUGGGGAGUACGACCGCAAGGUUGAAACUCAAAGGAAUUGACGGGGGCCC
rnacentral:rRNA from 1 species